UACAAGAAAAACUUGAGUUUUGUCUUCUUAGAUCAGAUCAUAGACACAAUCACUGAGCUUCAGUUUCCUACUGAUGCAGAUAAACACACAAUGCGCUCACACACUUUUAGUUUGUCACAGUUGAGAGCCGUUGCUUCAUCCCAUUCAAACAAACAUUCAUGAAACACAGAAAGUACAGAUAUGCGGAAACUGCAGCAGUACUUGACAAACAGAGAGAGAGAAGUUCUUAUUGUUUCCUGUCCUCAGCCCACACAGACAAUGUGGUCAAACGUCACACAUUAUUGAAGCAUUGCAGAUUGCAUUAGGAUGGCGGUGAGCAUCAUCUGCCUGUUGGUCUGUGCUCUGGGCUGUAAUGUCGCUGCAGGUGUUGCAGGAGGUCACCUGUUUUCAGCCUCACCUGUUCUCCGCUCCGCCCUGGUGGUCCAGGCUGGGCAGAACGUCUCGCUGGCCUGUAACCUGACAUCCAGACAGGAAAUCACCUGGUACCUCCUGCGCUCGGACCAGCUGCUGCCUGUGCUGACGGUUCGAUCAAGUCGAGUCGGAGAAGAUACGGUGAACGUUCACAUCGCAGACAGACGUCGAGUCAACAGCGUGGGGGAUCUGAAAAGUGGCUCGGUUGGUCUGGAGAUCGAGGAGGUGCAGGAGGACGACGCCGGGCUGUAUUUCUGCACGGGGCGGUGUGCAGGAGCUGUUUGUGUUAACAGAGGAAUUCAUCUGGUUCUUGAUGGUGAUGACGAGAAGUCAGCCAGGCAGCCAUGUUGGAGUACGGGGACCUGUGUCCUUCCAGCUGUAUUCGUCCUCUGUGUCGUCAACAUCACUGUGUUCUGCCUGUGCUCAGGUCUGAGUCCUCUGCUCCGGCCUGACUUCUCGUUCUUUGCACCUCUUGUUGGCAGCUCAUACUCGACCGCUACAUCCUGUCCCACCUAAAGCAGCAAAAGUGUGAUCUAUGCUAACAGUUUCACAUCGAGUCAUUUUCCAUUGAGUAGAACCAAGUGUGAAACCACCAUGACCAUCUUGGUUCUUUAGAGCCAGAAAGGACCAUUUACAAACUAUGCAGGUGCAAUCAAUACAUUUUGGUUAUCAGCAUGAUCAAAGAUAAUAAACAAUAACUUUAAUAUUAAAGUUUUUGGGGGCACCACACUUAAAGAGGGGGAAAUGAUAGAAUGGGCUUCAGUCUUUAAAAUGCACUACAACUACAAUCAGUAUUAUCAUAAGAACAGCUAACAGCUUGAAGGAUUAAGAGUUAAACAUACAAGAACAUGGCAGCCUUCACUCACAGACCAGCAUGUGUAUACACAUGCAUUUAUUAACAAGACAAAAAUACACAAUGGCUUCAGAGGUUGUGUUUGGUCCCGGGUCUGGAAGAGGCUGCAUAACUUGAAACAAGCUCCAACAUAACCGUGUGUGCAUGCACAUUACCAGUGUGCUCCGGACAGGUCAUAUAUCAGCUAGGAGACUCUCCAGUACUAGAGUGACUGUAGUUAGUUAAUGGUUUAAUUCUGGAUUGAUCAGUUUAUUUUUCUCUCUAUAGGUAUAACACGGAAGAAUAAAUCCUGAAUAAUGAACUUCUAUCAGAAAACCUUCAGGACCAAAGAAAGAACAUGUCAUCACUUCCACCUGCUAACACGCCAUCGAUUCAAUAACUCAACCUUAAUUCAAGAAUAAAAAGAAACAUGUAAC